rnacentral:piRNA from 1 species
UGCUACCUUAAUUAACUCGGU